AUGAUCAAAAGCUACAGAACAGCUGCUAAAUUUUGUUUACUGGUGUUUGCAAGGUUACAAACAAUGUGGAGAAAUGUGGUGGAAAUUAAUUCAGUUUAUUCUGAUACUGUAGGCUCCUUAAGUAUUUUACUUAAGUCUACUGUUUUCGGUUUCUGUUAUUUAUUUCCCGUUUUAUUGUGUAGUGUCUUUCACUUUACUUCCUGUCUUUGUCUGUUUUCCCACCAGUUUGGAUUGUCUGAUUAUUUUCACCUGUGCCUUGUUAUCCUCCCCCUCACCUGUGUAUCCGGUGUUGGGGUGUCUUUGUUCCCUCGUGUUUUCUCUAUAUUGUUCAGACUACUUUCAGUUUAUGGACUUCUGGAUUUAUUGGAUGCCUUUUGCCUGUUUCGUUUCGGACUACCGCCAUGGUUUUCUCUUCAUCCCAUGAUGCAGAUGAUGGUGUUGUUUACCCUGCAGGAGGAAGCGGAGCCUCACGGAGGAAACGAGAGGAACCGACAAGAUUGCUGCUGCUGACUGACGACCGCUCGCUGAUCACUUGAACCCAGUCUGAGCAGAAGAAGAAGCAGUCCUCUGUGUAUUCAGUACAUCUUCUGUGGUCUCUCUGUUGUAGCGAUAUUAAUGUUGAAAAUUAUUCUCUUCUAUAAAACAGUGAGUAUUGAAAGGUCUUUCAGCUCAUUUUUAAAGUCUCUGGCUGGUUUAAUCAAAUCACACUGCGGUGUUCUUCACAGUCUAGGUGGGCAGAAUAAUUACCUGUUGCAUACUUGUGGGUAGGCACACUGACAGG
rnacentral:lncRNA from 1 species